rnacentral:tRNA from 1 species
GGGCGGGUCGCGUAGCGGCAAUCGCACCUGGCUGUAAACCAGGGGUCUUACGACUCCGUGGGUUCGAGUCCCACCCCGCCCACCA